rnacentral:rRNA from 1 species
GACGAACGCUGGCGGCGUGCUUAACACAUGCAAGUCGAGCGGAGCGGCGAACGGGUGAGUAACGCGUUAGUAACUGCCCCCCUCCCUGGGAUAACAGUUGGAAACGGCUGCUAAUACCGGAUAGUGGGGGAUGACUCGCGUCCUAUCAGCUUGUUGGGGGGGUAGUGGCCUACCAAGGCGACGACGGGUAGCCGGCCUGAGAGGGUGACCGGCCACAGUGGGCUGAGAUACGGCCCAAACUCAUACGGGGGGCAGGAGGGGGAAAUAUUGCACAAUGGGGGAAACCCUGAUGCAGAAACGCCGGGUGCGGGAUGUCGGUUUGCGGGUUGUAAACCGCUUUCAGCCAUGACGCGGUAGUGGCAGAAGAAGCACCGGCUAACUACGUGCCAGCAGCCGCGGUAAUAC